AAAGAGGACCCUCUGAAGCGGGUACCCUGAACUUCUGAGACAGGACUGCUCGUUGGACACAAAUCACAGGAGACAGACUGGACACCACCACAGGCAAUCUUGCUAUUUACAAGCCUGUCCGGCUUCUGAAAUGUGCGUCUCUGCAUCGCCGCGAUGGGGGUGAUCCUAUUUACCCCUGCGCUCCAGAAUCAAGAGGCUGAUCACAAGUGCACGGGUGAUGCUAUCAGGCACUUCCAACGGGAGACAUUUUUGCAAAUCUCAUCUCAUGUAGUCUUCAGACCUCUCCUGCAUGGAAACAUAUUAUUAUAUGAAUUUGGAGAAUUGACAAACCAGAAUUCAGAAAAAAAAAAAAAAAAAGAAGAAGAAGAAGAAGAAGAAGAAGAAGAAGAAGUACCUUGGCCCAAAACACUUUUCUGGUAAGUCCUAGGUCUGGGUUUCCAGAUCCUGGGUUGUUUGUCUAUAAUAGAUAUGCCCAGGGAUUGUCUUUUGUGACCUGGGUGGAAUUUAAUAAUGAAGGGCCAAGCGGAAGGUACACAACUCUAUCUCUAUGCUACGUGGAAAGCAGUAGAGUGGACUGAGCUAAGAGAUUAUGCAGCACAGGACUUCCUACUCAAUAAAGACUGUGCGUCCCAUUCCCUAAUGCUGUCUCUAUAAUAGGCUAUUGAACUAGGCUCCUCCUUUUCAACCCAAGCCACCAUGAAGAAGGCUUGGCGUGGGGCUGCAGGGUACCUGUUGGUGUGCGAG
rnacentral:lncRNA from 1 species